UUGUUUUUGGGUGAUAUAACCCUUUGAUAUUUCUUUCGAUUGGUGUGCUAGGGAACACCAAGUUUUCAUUUCUUUUUGUGCAGAAAAAAUGUACGCUCCUGCAUGUGUGAUGUCAAUAUAUAUUGCAGCAGAAGCCCUACCUCCCCAACCCACGCCAGCACUCCCACCCCAACCGCAAGCCCCACAACCACAGCCGGCUCCUCAUCAACCAAGGCAACGGAGGCGUGCUAGGCCACCAAUUUUCAGAACCCGUGUCCUACUUUUUGGGAUGCCAGAUGAUGUGGUGGUGCGUAGAUACCGGCUGCCACCACAUCUAAUCCUAGACACUCUCUCCAUAAUAGAGAGUGAUCUGGAGUCUGAAAUUCGGUAUCCUACAGCAAUACCACCAUUGACACAAUUCCUUGCAGUGUUACAUUUUUUGGCUACAGCCUCAUAUCAGCAUGUUGUGGGAGACCUGGUUGGCAUGUCGCAGGGCCAGUUCAGUAAGGUCCUGCGGCGUGUCUGCCAGGCUUUCCUAAAGCGGGUGAAGCAGUUCAUUGAUAUGCCUUUGGAUGUUGGUGCCCUAGAUGUGGUGAAGCGGCAAUUUGCGGAAGGUGGUAGUCGCUUCCCACAUGUUAUUGGGGUUGUGGAUGGCACACAUGUUGCUAUUCAGCCACCAAGACAUAAUGAAGAAAUUUUUAGAAACAGGAAACUGUUUCAUUCUCUGAAUGUAAUGGUUGUUUGUGGGCCAUCCCUCCAGAUCCUUUCCCUGAAUGCAAAGUUUACUGGAAGUUCCCAUGAUGCAUAUGUCAUUAGACAAUCAGGGAUAUGGCAGAGAUUAAGAUCAAGUCAACGAGCAGACAUGUGGUUAUUGGGAGACCGUGGAUAUCCUUGCACCCCCUGGCUCAUGACUCCUUACCGUAAUCCCAGGCCAGGACCACAGAUGGCAUUUAACUCCGCGCUUACUGCCACUAGGCAGCC